rnacentral:rRNA from 1 species
AUUGAACGCUGGCGGCAUGCUUUACACAUGCAAGUCGAACGGUAACAGGCCGCAAGGUGCUGACGAGUGGCGAACGGGUGAGUAAUGCAUCGGAACGUGCCCAGUCGUGGGGGAUAACGCAGCGAAAGCUGCGCUAAUACCGCAUACGAUCUAUGGAUGAAAGCGGGGGACCGUAAGGCCUCGCGCGAUUGGAGCGGCCGAUGUCAGAUUAGGUAGUUGGUGGGGUAAAGGCUCACCAAGACAACGAUCUGUAGCUGGUCUGAGAGGACGACCAGCCACACUGGGACUGGGACACGGCCCAGACUCCUACGGGAGGCAGCAGUGGGGAAUUUUGGACAAUGGGCGCAAGCCUGAUCCAGCAAUGCCGCGUGCAGGAAGAAGGCCUUCGGGUUGUAAACUGCUUUUGUACGGAACGAAACGGUCCUGGUUAAUACCUGGGGCUAAUGACGGUACCGUAAGAAUAAGCACCGGCUAACUACGUGCCAGCCGCCGCAGUAAAAC